ACUGGGCACGGUGGUGCAUGCCUGUAAUCCCAGCAGCUAGGGAGGCUGAGACAGGAGGAUUGCUAGUUCAAAGCUAGACUCAGCAAGGGCAAGGCACUAAGCAACUCAGUGAGACCCUGUCUCUA
rnacentral:sRNA from 1 species